AAAGACCUUGCGCUUGAGGAGCGGCCGAUGUCUGAUUAGCUAGUUGGUGGGGUAAAGGCUUACCAAGGCAACGAU
rnacentral:rRNA from 1 species